CCUAUAGAUAUUAACCAAAAUGAAGUAGAUUGACAAGUUUAUUUUUUGGAACCUGUGGAAGAUACAGGAGAUGUCGAAAUAUCGUUCCCUUGAUAACAAUGGCACUCUUCUAUUUUUGCUGCUAUCAUUAUUAUCGUCAUCAUCAUUAUCAUCAUCAUUAUUAUUAUUAUUAUUAUUAUUAUUAUUAUUAUUAUUAUUAUAUUAAUGUCACGACCUUCACUGUUAGUGGAUGAUUGGAACGUCGUCUUUGAGCUACGUUUGGACUGUGUGGAGUUAGCUAAUGGAACAGUGGGUGGGAAAAGCCUCGUAAACCUGCUCAAACAUUUCCAACUGUCUGUCAGGUAUCGACUGGACUUCCCAGAUGUGUCAAUGUGGACUUGGACGAAUCGCAUCGGGUCAUCCAGGUCGUAUCUAGACAAGGUAUUUUGUAGGCCAGUAGAUAAGGAUAGCAUAAGGCGUCCAUUUUUCAAACUCGUCAGCUAGAGAGAGCACAAAUUUGUUGUUUUUAAAGGUCAACCUAAAUAGGCAUAGGAGGCAGGGACCCGGUUACUAGAAGCUGAACGCGUCAGUCCCAGCGUGCCAAGCUUACAGAGAUCGGAUUAAAGAAUUCGUUAAACGAGCGUCGGUGGCGGCAAUCGUCAACAGCAAAUGGUGAUAUGGCCUAAAAGAAAAAGUAAUUAGAGUAGAAUCAGUUAGGUUUAGUAAGGUAUUAGUGACAGAAAGAAAUAAAAUAGAAGGGAACUUGGAAACUUAGAAGAGACGCUUAGGACAGGCAUUGCAACCGACGUGCUGGCGGCGAGAUUGGCCCUCCAAUAAUUCUUCAACGCUAAACCUGAAGGUUGCAUUGUCGGAACUAAGGCGAGUGCUCUAAGGCAAGAGGGAACGAAAACCGCUCGAUGCGCGCGAGUGGCAGAGGCAUAACAUAGCAACAAAACCACAAUUCGGUCUUUGGUGGACUAAAAUGGACGUACGGUAGUCGAGUUCAAAUUUACAGAAAACAAAAGACGAAAACAGGUGUAGGGACAACGAACAGGUGCAUUAGUUUAACGCUCAGGAAGAAUGAUAUAAACCAUAAAAGAGAGGAAGUAUGAGAGAUGAAUCUAUUUAUUCAACCACUUGUCAUCCUUAGGAUUACGGCCGUUUCGCUGCCUUAUUCAUCUAAUAAUAAUUUCAGUGUGGAAUAAAAUUGUUUACUUGCCAGCAUUAAUAUAAGCAUGCUAUGCAUCAUAUGAUGCAAUUGUGUAUCUCAGAAGGUCAUGGUUACACCGACGAUUCAACUCUAAGCAUACAUGCAAAAUGUAUGCAUAUAUGUAUGUAUGUCAGCAUUCAGUUUUAUAUCAAGAUAAUUUGUCAAUUGAGAAAGAGCCGGUUUCUAACCUAGAUCCAAGGCUCCUUCAUUGGAAUUUAAACAACAUCAACAGGAUAUUUUUGCAUGUGUGUAUAUACGUAUGUAUGUAUAUGUGUGUAUUUGUAUCUUCUGUUUUAUGUAUGUUUUCUCAUACAUAAACUUGCAAAUCUGCUGGUGCUCAUAUAUACUUAACUGAUAAGCUUCUGGAAAGAUUUUUACAGUUCCAGUGAUGGCUUAGAUCAGUAGUCUUCGAAUUAGCUUUCUCCUUUCUGGUUUAAAUGUAUGUAAAUAUGUAAAUAUAUUUAUUAAUUAUAUAUACUUCUAUUAUAGCUUGCCCAGACGACGUUGAAAUCAAUGACGUAUAUUAUCCGGAGGAAGGGUGUAUGGUGUGCAACUGUACAGGAGGACUUGACUUUUCAACUAUGCCGCCAAAUGUCAUAAAAGUUGGACCGUGUUACUCGUGCGGUGCAGUAUAUAUUGAGAACUGCUCCGAAACGGAGCAAGUCAACCCCGAUGCAAACUACCCGGGUUGUUGUGAGAGAAGGUGUAAAACUUAGUAAGCCCAGAACGGAUUUCUUUAUUUUGUUGAGAAGAGUCUAUAGUUGUGCUUUAGAUUCGUUAAAAUAAAUUCUCUGAAUGAAUAAAUUGAAUUAAUUAUGAUAAUGA